UACGAAGGGGGCUAGCGUUGUUCGGAAUUACUGGGCGUAAAGCGUAUGUAGGCGGAUCGUUAAGUCGGGGGUGAAAUCCCGAGGCUCAACCUCGGAACUGCCUUUGAUACUGGCGGUCUCGAGUCCGGGAGAGGUGAGUGGAACUGCGAGUGUAGAGGUGAAAUUCGUAGAUAUUCGCAAGAACACCAGUGGCGAAGGCGGCUCACUGGCCCGGUACUGACGCUGAGGUGCGAAAGCGUGGGGAGCAAACAGG
rnacentral:rRNA from 1 species